rnacentral:rRNA from 1 species
UACAGAGGUCUCAAGCGUUGUUCGGAUUCAUUGGGCGUAAAGGGCGCGUAGGCGGCGGGGUAAGUCGGGUGUGAAAUCUCAGAGCUCAACUCUGAAACUGCACUCGAUACUGCUCUGCUUGAGGACUGGAGAGGAGACUGGAAUUUACGGUGUAGCAGUGAAAUGCGUAGAGAUCGUAAGGAAGACCAGUGGCGAAGGCGGGUCUCUGGACAGUUCCUGACACUGAGGCACGAAGGCCAGGGGAGCAAACGGG